CGUAGCAAGCCUAAGCCGCUCAGCGGUGGAGGCGCAGCGAAAGCGAGUCUGAAUAGGGCGCUCAGUUGCUGGCAUUAGACCCGAAGGGGAGGUGAUCUAACCAUGACCAGGUUGAAGCGUUAGUAAAAUAACGUGGAGGACCGAACCGGUGUAUCUUGAGAAAUGCUCGGAUGAGUUGUGGUUAGGAGCGAAAGACUAAUCAAACCCCCUGAUAGCUGGUUCUUUCCGAAAUAUAUUGAGGUAUAGCGUCGAGCGCUGACCUGUGGAGGUAGAGCACUGAAUAAGCUAGGGCCCCUACCGGGGUACUGAACUUUAUCAAACUCCGAAUGCCACAGGGUGAAGCUCGGCAGUCAGACAGUGGGUGCUAACGUCCAUUGUCGAGAGGGAAACAACCCAGACCAUCGAUUAAGGUCCCUAAAUAUGGCUCAGUGGUAAAGGAUGUGAUUUUACUUAGACAAUGGGGAUGUUGGCUUAGAGGCAGCCACCAUUUAAACAGUGCGUAAUAGCUGACCCAUCGAGUGAAAUUGCGCCGAAAAUGAUCGGGACUUAAGCUACAUACCGAAGCUAUGGAUUUCUGAUCUUCGGAUCAGGAGUAGUAGGAAAGCGUUCCAAGUGCAGCGAAGGAGAAGGGGCAACCGACUCUGGAGCGCUUGGAAGUGAGAAUGCAGACAUGAGUAACGAUAAAGAUGGUUAAAGUCCAUCUCGCCGUAAGGAUAAGGUUUCCUGGGGAAGGUUCGUCCGCCCAGGGUUAGCCGGGAGCUAAGACGAGGCCGUAAGGAGUAGUCGAUGCACAGGAGGCUAAUAUUCCUCCGCCGGCUUGCAACUAUCCCUAGAGUGCUGAUCGAGGGACCCUACAGACCUGUUAUGACAAGGCACUGCAAAGCUACGGCUGAGUGGGUGUAGGGAAACAAGGUUACAAGAAAAGCUCUAGGAUUACUAUGCAGGUCGCCCGUACCGCAAACCGACACAGGUAUCCGGGAUGAGUAUUCU
rnacentral:rRNA from 1 species